rnacentral:lncRNA from 1 species
CCUGGAUGUCUGUGGUGAAAUACUUGUUCCUUGGUAAUUGUCCUCCUGCCCUGCAAUCUUGGUUCUAUUAAAUGAUAUACUUGUUCCUGUUAUUGUCUUCAUGUCCUGUACUCGUGACAGCCUUUGUUAAGAUACUAUUCCUUUGUAAUUGUCUUCCUGCCCUGCAAUCUUGGUUCUAUUAUAUGAUAUACUUGUUCCUGUUAUUGUCUUCA